rnacentral:lncRNA from 1 species
AGAUCUGCUGUCAUCCGAGCAGGUAGGGAGCUGGGAUCUGAGAUCGGCCCCCAGGCUCGGAUGCUGAGGGCGGGCACACAGGGGCCUGUGGGACCCUCCGGGGUCCCCCUGGCUGUGGAAGCGGCUCCAGGCCCCCGUCCGUAUCUGGGGCAGAUCAGCUGGGAAGCGACAGGGACAAGGGUGGCACUAAUCUCUGUGUCCCCAGGGACGGCCCUGGCGGGGACAGGGGCAGGAGGUGGUUGGAUGUCACCUUGGCCCCCUCCCAGGCGCCGACACCUGCUCGGGUUUCGCAGCCAUCCUGCGGCUGUCACAGAUAACACCUUGGGCGCUCACCGGCUGUCCAGGGAACAAGGGCUGGCACCAUUCGGCGGCAGAGGAUUUUUUUGCAGUUCAAGAAAGAUUGAUUGGAAAGGCAGCAUGACAGAGGAGGAAGGAGACAGAUUUUGUAUCCACUGGUUCGCUCCCCAAAUGCCUGUAACAGUCAGAGCUGACGCCAGGAGCCAGGGAGCCCACCCCGCCUCUCACGUGAGUGGCCAGGUCGCCCCUGUACCCCGGGAGCCCGUCCCCCAGGCUCUCCCAGCAAACUGGAUCAGCAUGUGCUGAGUCCCAACCCUGCCCGGGCCAGGUCUCCACCUGUGUGCACACACGGCCACACGCAUGUGCACACACCCAUGCCCGCAGUCUGUACGGAGGACCCUGGCACUCGGGUUCCAGGCCACGUGGAAGCAGUGACGUCGGCAACGUCGGGGGUCACGACAGGCAGUGCCGGUACCAGGAGGGAGUCCCCCACGGCCUGCCUGCGCCCCACGGCCGCCUCUGCCUGCCAAGGCCCGUUCACCCCCCUUCGAAGCCUGGGGCCCCCAAGCUGUGGUGCAUAACCGGAGGGACUGUGGGGGGACGGCACCACAAGCCAGACCUGCAGGCCCCAGCAAAACCACAAGGCCCCAGCACUGGGCAGGCGGGGGGUGGAGCAGGAGGGCCCCCUCCCCGCCUGUCGUGCCAGCCCCCCGCCCCCCGGUUCCGCACAGCCGGCAGCCAAGUGAGCAGAGAGGGGUGCUCGCAGUAGGCAUGCCCUCCCCCCAGCACUCAGCCGGCGCCCUUCCUGGCCCUCUGAGCCCCCGCCCAGCUUCCCACCCAGGCUGGGGGAGGUGUGCAAAAGCCCCCGGAGCCCCAGCACCCGGUCCCUGCCCCUACCCCGCCCUAAAAGCCCCCAGAGCUGCAGAGUCUGGGACCCUCUCUGCCUUUCGCCCCAGGCCGUACCUGAGAGAAAUGGGAGGGGAACCCCACCCCACCCCCACCCCCGUGCCCCUGCGGGUAUCCAAGCCCCAGCUGGGAGCCAGGACAGGGUGCCCUGGUAGGCUCUGUCCCCUGGGUCCCCAGGACAGCUGCUGACCACUUCUGUUCAGGUGAGAGGACCUUGGCCCGGCUCCAACCCCACCCCAACCCCCUGGCCCUCACCUGGGCCCUGCCCUCCAUGGGGGCGCCUGCACUGGGCAGGGGGCUUCCCCAGCCAGGUGUGCGUGUCUCCUAAGGAGGAGCUGCAGAGCCCGCGUGGCAGGUGGGCACAGAGCUGGGAGCCCUGCGGGCCUGUCCCCGGGAAUGG